GGUGUCCGAGUUGUAAUCUCUAGAAGUGUUUUCCGCGUUGGACCGCAACAAGUCUGUUGGAAUACAGCGGCAUAGUGGUGAGACCCCCGUAUAUGGUGCGGACGCCCAACGCUUUGUGAUACACUUUCGAAGAGUCGAGUUGUUUGGGAAUGCAGCUCAAAUUGGGUGGUAAAUUCCAUCUAAAGCUAAAUAUUGGCGAGAGACCGAUAGCGAACAAGUACCGUGAGGGAAAGAUGAAAAGCACUUUGGAAAGAGAGUUAACAGUACGUGAAAUUGUUGGAAGGGAAACGCUUGAAGUCAGACUUGCUUGCCGAGCAAUCGGUUUGCAGGCCAGCAUCAGUUUUCCGGGGUGGAUAAUGGUAGAGAGAAGGUAGCAGUUUCGGCUGUGUUAUAGCUCUUUGCUGGAUACACCUUGGGGGACUGAGGAACGCAGUGUGCCUUACGGCGGAUUUCUCGAGAUCUUCACACUUAGGAUGCUGGUGGAAUGGCUUUAAACGACCCGUCUGAAACACG
rnacentral:rRNA from 1 species